AGGUACAUUUUGAACAGAUAAAAAAUCUGCGAUUCAUUUGCAAUUAAUUAAGAUUAUCUACGUACAAGUAUGCGAUUUAAAUAUUCAAAUCGAUUGACAGCCCUAUAACCAAUAGAACGUGUUAGUUAGUGAUCCGUAGAAGUGCUGGUUACUGUUUCCCCCUGGCUCCGGUCAUUAAGCUAAGCUAAGCUAAGCGGCUUCUGGCUGCAGCUUCAUAUUGAGUACACAGACGCCUCACAGUCAUGAGAGUGCAUCUAUGUUCUCAUCUAACUCUUGGCAUGACAGCCAAUGAGUGUAUUUCCCAAACUGUCGCUCUGUCCCUGCAUAUUAAAACACUCCCGUAACUAGAGGACACUGAUCGUGGUAAUUAAUCAAAGUCCUUUUUUGAUAUGAACAGCUCCAAAAAUGCUUCCAGUAAGAGGAGAGACAUGUGGGGCUCAAACGAAACAAAAACGGAUAGACGUACUGACGCCUUCAUUGUUUCUGAACAAUACAGUUAGAUCGGGGAGCGGCCGUGGCUCAGAGGUAGAGCGGGUCUUCUACCAAUCGGAAGGUCAGCGAUCCGAUCCCUGGCUCCUCCAGUCCACAUGUCGAAGUGUCCUUGAGCAAGAUACUCAACCCCAAACUACUCCCGAGGGCUGUGCCCAAGGUUGGCACCUUGCAUGGCAGCCUCUGCAAUCAGCGUAUGAAUGUGUGUUUGAAUGUUGACAUGUAGUGUAAAACGCUUUAAGUGGUCGGAAGCAGGGUCUGAAAUUAGCACUGAAAUUAGUGAAAUCAUCAGGACACCCGCCACUUUGGCAGACAGGGAAAACGCUAGUUAUGGGACUAGAGAACCGAAGUUUUCCUCUUUCUUGGCAUCUCAUGUCUCCGUGACUAUCGAUUCCUCUUAUUGAUGCCUUCCCACAGUUAUGCAUGCACAAUGACACGUACGCACGCUGUAUCAUGUUUCAGUUUGUUUUGGACUGGAGACACUGCCUGAGGGAUGCAA